rnacentral:rRNA from 1 species
AACGAACGCUGGCGGCAGGCUUAACACAUGCAAGUCGAACGCGUGUAGCAAUACACGAGUGGCGCACGGGUGAGUAACGCGUGGAUAUCUGCCUUUUGGUUCGGAAUAACUCCGGGAAACUGGAGCUAAUACCGGAUGGUUCCUUCGGGAUAAAGAUUUAUCGCCAAAAGAUGAGUCCGCGUACGAUUAGCUAGUUGGUGAGGUAAUGGCUCACCAAGGCGACGAUCGUUAGCUGGUCUGAGAGGACGAUCAGCCACACUGGGACUGAGACACGGCCCAGACUCCUACGGGAGGCAGCAGUGGGGAAUAUUGGACAAUGGGGGCAACCCUGAUCCAGCCAUGCCGCGUGAGUGAUGAAGGCCUUCGGGUUGUAAAGCUCUUUUGGCGGGGACGAUGAUGACGGUACCCGCAGAAUAAGCCCCGGCUAACUUCGUGCCAGCAGCCGCGGUAAGACGAAGGGGGCUAGCGUUGUUCGGAAUUACUGGGCGUAAAGCGAGUGUAGGUGGUUGUCAUAGUCAGGUGUGAAAGCCUUGAGCUCAACUCAAGAAAUGCACUUGAUACUGGGCGACUAGAGGACCGGAGAGGAUAGUGGAAUUCCCAGUGUAGUGGUGAAAUACGUAGAGAUUGGGAAGAACACCAGUGGCGAAGGCGGCUAUCUGGACGGUUUCUGACACUAAGACUC